rnacentral:rRNA from 1 species
CCUACGUGAGGCAGCAGUGGGGAAUAUUGCACAAUGGGGGAAACCCUGAUGCAGCGACGCCGCGUGAGUGAAGAAGUAUUUCGGGAUGUAAAGCUCUAUCAGCAGGGAAGAAAAUGACGGUACCUGAUUAAGAAGCGCCGGCUAACUACGUGCCAGCAGCCGCGGUAAUACGUAGGGGGCAAGCGUUAUACGGAUCUACUGGGUGUAAAGGGAGCGUAGACGGCAGCACAAGUCUGGAGUGAAAUGCCGGGGCUUAACCCCGGGACUGCUUUGGAAACUGUGCAGCUAGAGUGCAGGAGAGGUAAGUGGAAUUCCUAGUGUAGCGGUGAAAUGCGUAGAUAUUAGGAGGAACACCAGUGGCGAAGGCGGCUUACUGGACUGUAACUGACGUUGAGGCUCGAAAGCGUGGGGAGCAAACAGGAUUAGAUACCCCUGUAGUC